rnacentral:rRNA from 1 species
CAGUCGCCACGGUAAUACAUAGGUGGCAAGCGUUGUCCGGAAUUAUUGGGCGUAAAGGGCUCGCAGGCGGUUUCUUAAGUCUGAUGUGAAAGCCCCCGGCUCAACCGGGGAGGGUCAUUGGAAACUGGGAAACUUGAGUGCAGAAGAGGAGAGUGGAAUUCCACGUGUAGCGGUGAAAUGCGUAGAGAUGUGGAGGAACACCAGUGGCGAAGGCGACUCUCUGGUCUGUAACUGACGCUGAGGAGCGAAAGCGUGGGGAGCGAACAGGAUUAGAUACCCCAGUAGUCCCUGUCUCUUAUAC